rnacentral:tRNA from 2 species
GCCCUCAUAGCUCAGUUGGUAGAGCACACCCUUGGUAAGGGUGAGGUCAUGAGUUCGAGUCUCAUUGAGGGCU